rnacentral:rRNA from 1 species
AUUGAACGCUGGCGGCAGGCCUAACACAUGCAAGUCGAACGGUAACAGGAAGAAGCUUGCUUCUUUGCUGACGAGUGGCGGACGGGUGAGUCAUGUCUGGGAAACUGCCUGAUGGAGGGGGAUAACUACUGGAAACGGUAGCUAAUACCGCAUAACGUCGCAAGACCAAAGAGGGGGACCUUCGGGCCUCUUGCCAUCGGAUGUGCCCAGAUGGGGUUAGCUAGUAGGUGGGGUAACGGCUCACCUAGGCGACGAUCCCUAGCUGGUCUGAGAGGAUGACCAGCCACACUGGAACUGAGACACGGUACAGACUCCUACGGGAGGCAGCAGUGGGGAAUAUUGCACAAUGGGCGCGAGCCUGAUGCAGCCAUGCCGCGUGUAUGAAGAAGGCCUUCGGGUUGUAAAGUACUUUCAGCGGGGAGGAAGGGAGUAAAGUUAAUACCUUAGCUCAUUGACGUUACCCGCAGAAGAAGCACCGGCUAACUCCGUG